rnacentral:lncRNA from 1 species
UCACUACUACUCUCUGCUACGUUCCAGUCAUUCCCUUUCUUCACCAAACCAUCAACAUCAUGAACUUCCUCACUACACUCCCACGGAAUCUUCAACAUCCGAGCCUCUUCAAUAGGGACAAGGUUACUACAACCACUCCAACUCCUGUCUCUCCGCCCUCGUUUCAAACCAGACUUAACCUCAUCAUCAGGAGGCGUAAAGUAAGCCCCUUCUAAAUCACUAAUCAGUUCAGGGUCAACCGUAGUGUCCCAAUCCACAUCACUGACGUAAAGAUCCGGAUCAGGAAGAGAUAUAUCACAGUGAACUCCAUUAACAUGUGACCAAAACCGUUUCUUCUCGUUGUGGAAAGUCUCUUGACAAGCGGAAUCAUCCCAAGUGAUUACGUUACCUGUGUACCAGCUCUUGAAGUUCGUAGCUUCAACAACUUUUGGCCAUGGCACUGAUCCAAUCACUUCGCAGAAUCUCUUCUCCCAUACUGGAAUCCCAUCGUCUUCACCAUAUCCUUAUACAAUACAGUAAAGACAGUGAACAAUAGCUCCUCAAACAAUCGUAGGAGACGGAAACUAAAACGAAUUAAGAUCAUAUUACCAGAAGAAGAAGGUCUUUCGCUAUACCAUCGCGAAGGAGAUCUGCGACGGUUGAAUCUGGAUCGAUUGUUCCACUUUCCCAUCGAGAAGCCUCAAAGGGAUGACGAUUGAUGUUUCGAGGACAAAAGAAUGGUUGAGAUGGGAGAAACUAGGGCCUGCGGCGGGAGAAUUUGGGAGGAGCUGACGACGGAGCGAAUUGGAUACUGCAGAAGGAGGAGUGAGAGCAUCAUUAACCUAGAUCCUAGAUCUCUUUUUUUUUUUUUAAUAUUAAAUAUGAGGUAAGAGACUCGCUAAUUUAUGAAACAGAGCAACUACGUUCAGACGAGGAGGAACCAUAAGAGGCUCUGGAUCGAACACGCCGAUAGCAUCUCGUGCCUUGCGGUACACGCAGGGAUAAUCUACUCAGGGUCUUGGGAUAAGACGCUUAAAGUGUGGAGAUUGUCGGAUCUUAAGUGUCUUGAGUCGAUCAAGGCACAUGACGAUGCUAUUAACGGCCUUGUUGCCGGAGAAGGCAGAGUAUACUCUGCUUCUGCGGACGGGAAGAUCAAGAUUUGGGGGAAAGAGAAGAGGAAGAAAGCUGAUUCGUCUUUGUCUUCUUCUUCUUCUUCUUCUUGGUCACAUGUUCUGAAGGCGACACUGGAGGGUCAUGCGGAGGUUUCUGUGAACUCGGUGGUGGUUUCCGGCGAGGGGAGGUGGGUAUACGGAGGAGGGUCAGAUGGGUUUGUGAUGGGAUGGGAGAGGAGUGAGAAAGGAGGAGACUUUGAGGAAUGGAGAUUAGGGUUUGAGACGAGAGGACAUAAGAUGGCAGUUCUGUGUAUGUGUGUGGUUGGGGAAAUGGUGUGCAGUGGAUCGGCUGAUAAGAGCAUUGGGCUGUGGAAGAGAGAAGAGAGUGGCAGGCUCUGUAAAUUUGGAGUCAUUCAAGGGCAUGAAGGUCCGGUCAAAUGCUUGCAAGCUUCUCCCAAUAAUGUUGGUGCUGGAUUCAUGCUUUACAGUGGAAGUCUUGACAAGAGCAUAAGGGUUUGGUGGGUUUCAAAACAAGACUGUGUAGAAGAAGAGAAGAAGAAAACAAGUUUUAGGACAUUGUUGAUGCAACAGGGAUGAGUAGGAAGAUGUUAUAUUUGGUGUUUCUUUUUUGUGGGUUUUCAUAUACGUUUUAUGAUAUAUUUGUAAUUUGUUAUUCAAUUUGUAAAGUUUUUUUCCAAGAUAUAAAUGAUAUUGAUUCGUUUUGAUAGACUUUGUGUCUACGAACUGUUUUGGUCCUAGUGAUAAAGUCUUAUACUCUGCUUUGGGGUUGCCUUUGCUUUGUAUUGAAACUGUAGCAAUGGGAUGAUGGCUUCUGCGUUGGACAAAACUAUUUUGUUUAGCCUACUUUUUGAGCAUUGAUCACCGUCCAAUUAUCGAAACAAGAGUUAUGCAACUCCUCAAUCAUUAACAUGCUUUAACCAUGUUCCAAUUAAUGUCUUUUUUAUUAUUUAAGCAGGUACCCAUCAUAAUGGACCAACCUGGUGUUUUGAAAGUGAAGCAUAUAUCUCCAUUGUUUAAUCAAGAAAAAGCAGAGUUCCUCAGUUUUCAAUAUAAAAGUGAGAUGAGAAAGCUUUGAAGGGAUGCAUGUAGCCAAAAGCAGAAGUGCUAACAUGUAUAUAUGCCUUUUUUUAUGAAGUUGGAAGAGAUUAGGUGAAAUGUGAUUAAAACCACCCUAGAAAGAUACAUUAUCAUAUUCUAGUUAUAAAGGCAAAAACUUUGGAUAGUUUAGUAUGAAACAUCAUCAUCAAAAAGGGUAUAUGACCUAUGAAAGAGAAACAUAAACCCUAUCUUUGAAUUUCUAUAGGCAUCUUAAUGCCUCACAACUUAAACUAAUACAACAUCAAAACAUCCCCGAGAACUAUGGAUUACAUUACCUACUUAGAUGAGAAAUUGACUUUCCUGCUCUGAUAAUCAUCUCUUAUAGGCCUUGAGUUUCUGUAGUUACUGUUGUAUCGAUAUGAUUCAUCUCUUUCUCUGUUUCGCCUACCCCAACCAUCACUGGAUCGUUUCACAUCCCAUUCUCUUCGAUUCGUCUCACUCACUCUACGUGUUUGCCAACCGCCUGCAUUAGGCCCAUACUCUCUCCGAGCUGUAUUGCCAGGCCCAAAGCCAGCUUUCCAUGGAUUAUAACUCCUUGGCUCCCUAUAAUCCUGACUACAUUUCGUACGACGCCACUCAUUCAUCUCCAAAUCUCGCUUUUCCCAUCCAUCACUGCCACCACCUCUAUCAUCCCAACCCUUACCAGACCAACCUCCCCAAGUCGUAUCUUCUGCUGUCUCCUUUCUACAGCUAAGCUUGGCUUCCCAAGGAUUGUCGAGCAUUUCAUCCUCUCUGGCUGGCACACUUUCAGAACCUUUUGCCUUCUUGUUUUGUUGUCCUGACGUAUCCCAUCCAUCGUUUCCCUGGCCCCAUCUGUCAUUACCCUUAUCUUCAGUUUUCCACUCAAUCUCCUUCCAUAAGCAAUCCCCAGACAUUGUAUCAUUUGCUUUCUCGUUACCAAAACUAGGCUUAGCUUCCCACGGCCUUGUCCUAUCAUUAGGAUGAUCACUACUACUCUCUGCUACGUUCCAGUCAUUCCCUUUCUUCACCAAACCAUCAACAUCAUGAACUUCCUCACUACACUCCCACGGAAUCUUCAACAUCCGAGCCUCUUCAAUAGGGACAAGGUUACUACAACCACUCCAACUCCUGUCUCUCCGCCCUCGUUUCAAACCAGACUUAACCUCAUCAUCAGGAGGCGUAAAGUAAGCCCCUUCUAAAUCACUAAUCAGUUCAGGGUCAACCGUA